GGAUGGCAUAUAAGGCAGUCAUCCAUCUCAUUACCGGAGAAGGGCAUUUAAGGGUGACCAACAAAUUCUGGCCUCAUAGAAUUAUUGUUUACUCCUUCCAUUUUAUGAAGAAUUGGUGUUACUUAGCUAAGUGAUCGCCACUGAUUACCAGUGAUGCCAUGUAGAACCUGGAUUUCCAUUGUGGAGAUGGUUUCACAGGUGCAGAUACAGAGUCUCAGGACCUACCUACAGUGGUCGGAAUCUCCCAUUUCCUCGAUAUCUGCUUGUGUGCAUGCAAUGACCAGGCUACACUCUGAUGCUAACCUUCAUGACUCCGGGAUGAAAGUCCUUGUGAAGAGUGCUCCACCUGCCAUCUGCCACCUGCUCUGGAUGCCACUGACUCUGCUUUCCCAGAUGUUCUCAGCGCUACAGCCCAGAAUUCUGGCCCCAGAACCAAGAUGCUUUCUGCUCAGUCUUGAUCUCUUGCAUCGUCCUUUACAGCCUGUCAUUUAAUAAUGAGAUUUUACAGAA